CAUUGUCGCCUGAGACCAGGUUAAGCCACACCAAUGGGUUGUGGUCAGUCAUUAAGGUAAACUCUCGGCCAUACAGAUAAGGGGUCAGUUUCUUCAAGUCCCACACCAGGGCUAAACAUUCCUUUCUCCACUGUCACAUAGCUCACCUCUCGGGGUAACAGCUUCCUAUUGAAGUACGCGACAGGAUGUUCUGCUUCAUCUUCUCCCACUUGGCUUAGAAUGGCCCCCAGCCAGAAAAUAGAAGCGUCUGUGUGGACAACAAAGUGUUUGUCAAGGGAUGGGGCAGCACUGUUCCUGGUGCGGGGUGUGGGCCACUUAACGACGGUCUCAAUCUUAGCAGUUUCAGGUCGCUUUUUCCCACACCCCACCCGGUGUUCCAGGUACCGGACUUCGGCCAUCCCAAGAUGACAUUUGUCUGGCUUCAGAGUCAGGCUGGCUGCCUGAAUCUGAUCCAGCACUGCCCCUACAUGCCUUAAGUGUUCCUCCCAGGACUCACUGUAGAUCGCAGUGUCAUCCAGGUACACACAGGCGAAAUCCUGGAAGCCACCGAGGAGUCUAUCCACCAAGUGUUGAAAGGUAGCUGGGGCGUUUUUUUCAUCCCGAAUAGCAUGACCUUAAAUUGGUACAGGCCAACUUGGGGAUAGCCUCCUCGGCCAGGGGAAUCUGCCAGUUACCUUUGCAGAGAUAAGUGAUGUCCUUUUCCUCCUAGAGUAGAGAGCGCGGAGGUAUUCCCAACCAUCAAUCCAAGCAGUGAAGAAGUAGGUAUAGCUGUGAAGCUCUUAUAGCAAGUCCCUACAAACACAAAGAGAGGCUCUAUGUUGAGGAUAAAACUGGGCUGGUUUAAUAGUAGCCACACUGGUCUUUUAUGCAAUUCUCCAUGCAAGGGAUACGCCCAUAUGGACCUUGUUGGGGACUGUGACACAAAUUUAGAAACCAAUAUUAACGGAGUU